rnacentral:rRNA from 1 species
GGAAUAUUGCACAAUGGGGGAAACCCUGAUGCAGCCAUGCCGCGUGUGUGAAGAAGGCCUUCGGGUUGUAAAGCACUUUCAGUAGGGAGGAAAGGAUGUAACUUAAUACGUUAUAUCUGUGACGUUACCUACAGAAGAAGGACCGGCUAACUCCGUGCCAGCAGCCGCGGUAAUACGGAGGGUCCGAGCGUUAAUCGGAAUUACUGGGCGUAAAGCGUGCGCAGGCGGUUUGUUAAGCGAGAUGUGAAAGCCCUGGGCUCAACCUAGGAAUAGCAUUUCGAACUGGCGAACUAGAGUCUUGUAGAGGGGGGUAGAAUUCCAGGUGUAGCGGUGAAAUGCGUAGAGAUCUGGAGGAAUACCGGUGGCGAAGGCGGCCCCCUGGACAAAGACUGACGCUCAUGCACGAAAGCGUGGGGAGCAAACAGGAUUAGAUACCCUGG